rnacentral:rRNA from 1 species
AAAUUGAAGAGUUUGAUCAUGGCUCAGAUUGAACGCUGGCGGCAGGCCUAACACAUGCAAGUCGAACGGUAACAGGAAGCAGCUUGCUGCUUUGCUGACGAGUGGCGGACGGGUGAGUAAUGUCUGGGAAACUGCCUGAUGGAGGGGGAUAACUACUGGAAACGGUAGCUAAUACCGCAUAACGUCGCAAGACCAAAGAGGGGGACCUUCGGGCCUCUUGCCAUCGGAUGUGCCCAGAUGGGAUUAGCUAGUAGGUGGGGUAACGGCUCACCUAGGCGACGAUCCCUAGCUGGUCUGAGAGGAUGACCAGCCACACUGGAACUGAGACACGGUCCAGACUCCUACGGGAGGCAGCAGUGGGGAAUAUUGCACAAUGGGCGCAAGCCUGAUGCAGCCAUGCCGCGUGUAUGAAGAAGGCCUUCGGGUUGUAAAGUACUUUCAGCGGGGAGGAAGGGAGUAAAGUUAAUACCUUUGCUCAUUGACGUUACCCGCAGAAGAAGCACCGGCUAACUCCGUGCCAGCAGCCGCGGUAAUACGGAGGGUGCAAGCGUUAAUCGGAAUUACUGGGCGUAAAGCGCACGCAGGCGGUUUGUUAAGUCAGAUGUGAAAUCCCCGGGCUCAACCUGGGAACUGCAUCUGAUACUGGCAAGCUUGAGUCUCGUAGAGGGGGUAGAAUUCCAGGUGUAGCGGUGAAAUGCGUAGAGAUCUGGAGGAAUACCGGUGGCGAAGGCGGCCCCCUGGACGAAGACUGACGCUCAGGUGCGAAAGCGUGGGGAGCAAACAGGAUUAGAUACCCUGGUAGUCCACGCCGUAAACGAUGUCGACUUGGAGGUUGUGCCCUUGAGGCGUGGCUUCCGGAGCUAACGCGUUAAGUCGACCGCCUGGGGAGUACGGCCGCAAGGUUAAAACUCAAAUGAAUUGACGGGGGCCCGCACAAGCGGUGGAGCAUGUGGUUUAAUUCGAUGCAACGCGAAGAACCUUACCUGGUCUUGACAUCCACGGAAGUUUUCAGAGAUGAGAAUGUGCCUUCGGGAGCCGUGAGACAGGUGCUGCAUGGCUGUCGUCAGCUCGUGUUGUGAAAUGUUGGGUUAAGUCCCGCAACGAGCGCAACCCUUAUCCUUUGUUGCCAGCGGUCCGGCCGGGAACUCAAAGGAGACUGCCAGUGAUAAACUGGAGGAAGGUGGGGAUGACGUCAAGUCAUCAUGGCCCUUACGACCAGGGCUACACACGUGCUACAAUGGCGCAUACAAAGAGAAGCGACCUCGCGAGAGCAAGCGGACCUCAUAAAGUGCGUCGUAGUCCGGAUUGGAGUCUGCAACUCGACUCCAUGAAGUCGGAAUCGCUAGUAAUCGUGGAUCAGAAUGCCACGGUGAAUACGUUCCCGGGCCUUGUACACACCGCCCGUCACACCAUGGGAGUGGGUUGCAAAAGAAGUAGGUAGCUUAACCUUCGGGAGGGCGCUUACCACUUUGUGAUUCAUGACUGGGGUGAAGUCGUAACAAGGUAACCGUAGGGGAACCUGCGGUUGGAUCACCUCCUUA